UGCGGGAUCGUCUAACGGUAGGACUGCAGAUUCUGGAUCUGCGUAUCGGGGUUCGAAUCCCUGUCCCGCAG
rnacentral:tRNA from 1 species